CCUACGGGUGGCAGCAGUGGGGAAUAUUGGGCAAUGGGCGCAAGCCUGACCCAGCAACGCCGCGUGAAGGAAGAAGGCUUUCGGGUUGUAAAAUUCUUUUGUCAGGGAAGAGUAGAAGACGGUACCUGACGAAUAAGACACGGCUAACUACGUGCCAGUAGCCGCGGUAAUACGUAGGUGGCAAGCGUUGUCCGGAUUUACUGGGUGUAAAGGGCGUGUAGCCGGGUUGACAAGUCAGAUGUGAAAUCCUGCGGCCUAACCGCAGAACUGCAUUUGAAACUGUUGAUCUUGAGUACUGGAGAGGCAGACGGAAUUCCUAGUGUAGCGGUGAAAUGCGUAGAUAUUAGGAGGAACACCAGUGGCGAAGGCGGUCUGCUGGACAGCAACUGACGGUGAGGCGCGAAAGCGUGGGGAGCAAACAGGAUUAGAUACCCUUGUAGUC
rnacentral:rRNA from 1 species